UAGGCAUAAGUUACCAUGGUGAUUUACCCGGUAAGAAGAGAAUCAGCUUGGCAGGCCGGAAAAAAAGUUAAAUUAGCAGUAAACAAUUCUGCAGAGACAUUGUUUGCUGUUGAUUUUCUGACUGUACUGGAUGUCAGUAAGAAAGAUUCCGGUGUUCCAGGGAGAACUGACUCUAGGGACAGUGACACAAGCAUCAGUCGAGUGGAUGGAUCUUGAAAAGGAGUUAGAGCAUUUUUUACAGACAAUAGAGAUGGAGGAGGCAGAUGUGCUUGACCGCUUCAUGGAGGAUUUGUCAAUGAGGCUGCCUCGAUAUGGGGAGAUUAACCUAUCUGCUGUUGGAGUGGUGGAGUUCCAGGGAGAACAGACUGUAGGGACAGAGACACAAGCAUCAGUCGAGAGGAUGGAACCUGCUGCCAAAUUAAAUCAGAUUAAACAAAACGUGGAGGGGGAAGAUGAACUUGACCGCUUCCUGGAGGCGAUAAAUACAAUUUUGGAAGACACACUCAACACUUCACCACCUCCUCCUCCUGCUGUCCCUGCUGAGCCAGGUUCCAACAGCCACCUUCAGGCAGUGGAAAGUCCGAGUGAUGGGGAUGGUGUCUCCACCACCCUGGUAGCAGGUCCACACAGCCUCAAGCAGCCAUGGAUGUCUGCUCCCAGUCAGGCUGCUCCCAGUUCCUAUCAACAGCCACUUACCUGCCACAUCAGCGGCCUGGACUCAACGUCCCAGGACCAGCAGCCGGCAGUGCUUCUCCACAACCAGAUGUCAGAAAGAAAAAUUCCAGAGUUUGAGGGAGAACAGACUGUAGGGACAGAGACACAAGCAUCAGUCGAGUGGAUGGAUCUUGAAAAAGAGUUGGAGAAUUAUUUACAGACAAUGGAGAUGGAGGAGGCAGACGUGGUUGACCUAGUCCUGGAGGCGAUAAAUACAAUUUUGCGAGACACAGGCAACACUUCACCACCUCUUCCUGCUGUCCCUGCUGAGACAGGGUUCAACAGCCACCCUCAGGCAGUUGAAAUUCUGAGUGAUGGAUAUGGUGUCUCCACCACCCUGGUAGCAGCUUCACACAGCUUCAAGCAGCCAUGGAUGUCUGCUCCCAGUCAGGCUGCUCCCAGUUUCUAUCAACAGCCACUCUAUGAUCAAAAUAUCAUGCAGUCAGGUGGUCAACUGUGCAACCAGGCAGGUGCUCAAAGCCAAGAACAGGUUUCACAGUACCUGCCACAUCAGUGGCCUGGAUACAACGUCCCAGGACCAGCAGCCAUCAGUGCUCCUCCACAACCAUACCUGCCACAUCAGUGGCCCGGAUACAACGUCUUAGGACCAGCAGGCUUUAGUACUCCACAACAAGAUUUGUCAAUGUGGCUGCCUCAGGGUGGAGAGAUAAACCUGUCUGCUGUCGGAGUAGUGAAAGGAAAGAUGGUGUAUGCGCUUCCACCGGGAAUGUCCUUCACUGCUUUUGAUCCUGCUGCUCCUCCACAGAACACCUCCAUGUCACAAAAAAGAAAGCGUGAGAGCUGGCAGGAGGAAGAUCAGACAUAUAUUAAGAAGCCGCCUAACGCUUUCAUGUUGUACAUGAAAGAGCAGAGGCCAAAAGUCCGCGCUGAACUGGACACCACAGUGAACAGUUCAACACUCAACACUAUUCUUGGACAAAGAUGGAAGUCACUGUCCAAGGAGGAGCAGGCCAGAUAUUAUGAAGAGGCGAACAAGGAAAGGCUACUCCACGCUGAACAAUUUCCAGAGUGGUCGUCCAGAAACAAUUAUGGCAAGAAGAGAAAGAGGAUCAGGACAAAGAAUUGCUGCCAGCGCUGAAGCAUUUCCGCGUGAGCUGCCACAUCUUGAGGUGAGGCCGCCGCCAUAAGCCAGUCAUCUAUAUACGUGGCCAUGCGUAUGCCCCUCUCUCACAAGAUUCAUGCUACUUCUGUGCACCCCCGGACUGAGUGACAGGCUGAAAGGGAGCACCAGAUAUUUGUAAGAAACUCCCUGGAAAGCAAAUCUCGGAUGUUUCCUGUGUAUAGAGGCAAUAUGGGAAUGUGAAAAUAUGAGUCAGGUCGAUCAACAUGAACAAAUCCCCCGGGUGCACAAAACGCAGGAGUGAAGCGUGAGUCAGCAUCCUGAAUUUGUAUUUCCUGAGGUAUUUGUUUAGCACCUUGAGGUCUAAAAUAGCUUGGAUUGCCCGCCCCCCUGUAUUUGGGAUUAGAGAAUAUCUAGAAUAAAAACCUUCCUGGCUCUGACCAGGAGGAACUAUUCUUAUGGCUCCUUUUUCCAAUUGAGUGUCAAUCUCUUCUUGUAAAAUAUGAGUCGACUCUCCCUGAGCCUGAGAAUAUAUGAUUCCCUUGAACUGAGGUGGAACGACAGCGAACCUGUCUAUCAACACCUAUUCUGAUUUUGUGCUCGCAAUCCAAUCCUCCCUUCUCAGUGAGAGGGGGCUGGCUGGCCAAUACCCCGGAGAUGUAUAUCUGGGGUGAGGGGGCAAGAAUAGCCACCUUUUUUUGUAAAGUGUGUCAAAGAGCUCGCUUCUUCCUUCUCACUCCCUGAGAGGGUUGAGGAGCUCGCUGACCCCCCUGUGGGCUGGCCUGGGUCAUUGGCUUUCUUGCCCAUUGAUGACAAGGUGUGUGCCCCAUGGAGCAGUCUGUGGCGCAUACUGAGCCCUGGGGAAUUUUGGAAUCGUGUAGCAAGGCGUGGGGCUGGGGCGUGUCACCCCCUGUGUAAACGUCUGCCGCGGGGUCCAGCAGCGCCUGGUUGGAACUACCUGGGCAAGCAGAGCUUUAGGGGCUCAUCCUCUUUCUUCUUGUCCUCACAUCUUUUCUGGAUCGAGGCUACUGCUGGGUCAAAGAGACCCUGUGGGACAACAAGUGUAUCCAGGAGUUCCUCCCUCUCAUGAGAAGCGAUGUUUGUGAGAUUCAACCACCUGGCUCUCUCCUGUACAACCAUCAGACCCAUCGCCCUGCCCGUGGCCUGGACUGCAAUCUUAUGGAGGUGUACGCAGGGGUCUCUAAUGAUUCAGAUCUCUUCCCAUAGUUUUGCGUCCGGCUUCGCUGUCACCACCUCCUCCAACUCUAACUGGUAUGCCCUCAGGAGUGAAGAUGCGUUCAGUGACCGGGCCGUGAGGGCAGCCACUUUCUAGUCCUUGUCCAUCAGGCUUGACUGAAAGCGGUCGGUCUUUGAGGGCAGGGAGGUCCCAUACACCGACAUAGGAGUGCCAGGAUGGAGCUGAGAGGCCACCACUGGUCCGUGUCCCCAUCUGAACCGAAGUGGUCACACAGCAAAGACCUCUCCUUUUUCUCUCUCCUCUCUAAAAGUCCCCCAGUCCAUGUGCAUUGUCUCCAAAUAGAUCUUCACUCAAAAUUUUAUUAGAUUAGGUUAGAUUUUUUAAAAAAAGGAUUCAUUGCUAUUUAGUCAUUAGUCUAUCAAUUAUUUCAUAUUUGGCGAUUAUUGCAAAAAUAAUGUCCC